rnacentral:rRNA from 1 species
GACGAACGCUGGCGGCGUGCUUAACACAUGCAAGUCGAACGGAAAGGCCCUGCUUUUGUGGGGUGCUCGAGUGGCGAACGGGUGAGUAACACGUGAGUAACCUGCCCUUGACUUUGGGAUAACUUCAGGAAACUGGGGCUAAUACCGGAUAGGAGCUCCUGCUGCAUGGUGGGGGUUGGAAAGUUUCGGCGGUUGGGGAUGGACUCGCGGCUUAUCAGCUUGUUGGUGGGGUAGUGGCUUACCAAGGCGUUGACGGGUAGCCGGCCUGGGAGGGUGACCGGCCACAUGGGGACUGGGAAGCGGCCCGGACUCCUACGGGAGGCAGCGGUGGGGAAUAUUGCACAAUGGGGGAAGCCUGAUGCAGCAACGCCGCGGGCGGGAUGACGGCCUUCGGGUUGUAAACCGCUUUCGCCUGUGACGAAGCGUGAGUGACGGUAAUGGGUAAAGAAGCACCGGCUAACUACGUG